UCAGGUGGUUUUAUGGGGGACAGAAAGGGUAAGAUGUCAUACAAGGGAGAGAAAGGAGUUAGCUAGUCCUGCAAAAGGAGAAGAAGGAAAGAAAGAGCCAAUGCUGCAUGGAGCUGCCCAUGGCAAGGUUACAAAGAAAAGUUGCAGGAUGAAGCAGCCACACCAAUUUUCUGGAGUGUCCAUGAUCAGAACGGAUGAAAUCAGGAUGAGACUUUGCGGUGAGGAGAGGAUGUUCCUGAGAUGAUGGUCCUAGUGUUGGUCUUCAUCUUACUGUCUGCCAUGAAUGCAGGAGUCUGUACCAUGAUUUGGGAAGAUAUUCAGAGCAAUGGCUGGAGGCUGUGACAGCUGCAGUCCUUUCUAUGGAGCAUGCUGUGGUGGUUAUGGAACAUGCAGCUGGCAGAGGCUUGUGGGGUGAGAUGCACAAUAUGAAUAACCUGUUUACUAUGUGGCACAUGUGAUGAAAGGCUGAGUGGACGUGACUCCUGCACUGCAAAGGCUCAAGCCCUUUUCUGUGUGUGUGCCACUAGAGCAUGCCAAUGUUUCCUUGGACAGGUAUACCUGUGCAGGUUUUAUUGCUACAGACACAAAUAGCUUUUGUGAGUACCUAAGGAUGCUGAAAGCAGGCAAGAGACACAGUGCCUGUGUGAAACUAAUUCACUCUGGCCUGCGAAAGCAUAAGGAGAAAUCUAAACAGUCCUUGGAGAAGGACAACAACCUUUUGCAGGCAUUGUUUAGGAUCCUUGUUUUUUACUUGCAAGAAACAGUCAAGGGGUGGUGUUCCACUUAACCAAUGAUGAUGUGUAAGUUUAAUGACCGAUGAGUUUUACCUCUUGGACCUUGUCAGACCUGUCUAUGAGAGAUGAUUGAGAAUAAUAAACUUGCUCUCUUGGACAACCCAGCAAGAGAGUCAGUGUUGUACUUUCUGCUGUUCCUAAUAUAGUGCGACAAGUACCCAGUUUCCUGUCUCAUGUUUUUUCAGCUAUAGCCACAAAAAAUGAGAUUUAGCUGGUCAUUCCCUGCAUUUUUGACACUGAUCAGACAUAACUUUCAAAAGUUAUUGUUUAACGAAGAAAUAAAAAUACACAUUAAACAGAAUGGAGCACCUUCCCUCACCCAGUUGGUAAUAAAUCAGUGUACACUCCAGAUAACAUUGCUGACUGACACAGUAUUUGACAUCUCAGACCACUGUUUUUGCCAGAAUAAUUGUCACAUUUUAUUCUUGCCAUGUGCAGUACAAUGCCAGUAUGACUCAUUGCAGUUUUUCUUUGAACAUUUUUGAACAGUGUUUAGAAAGUAUCAGAUGGCCAUAUUUUCCCCAGAAGUGAUA